UUCCGUGUCUGACUAAUUCACGUGACUCAUACAUAGUCUUUGGCUUUGUUGUGGAAAGAGAGUCAAUUCCUGCUGAAUCUGCGUCUGUUUUGAUGGUUGUCCUAAAAUAAGAUCUGAAAAUACAUUUUUGCAUAUGGAACAAAUUCACCAUGGAAGCUGCGGAGUGACCGGAGUGACCGUGGAUGAUGGCUAGCGAUGUGGAUUUGCAUCUUCCUGCUGUCCUGUUGUUUUCCCUAAAUGGCAGGGAUUUUUAUCCAGCCAAGGAACACAGUCCUCUCAAGUUCCAUUAGGUCCAGCAUUUAUUUUGCCAGGCAAUGUUCCACCUGCUUAGACACAAGAGUCCUGCCCUGAACCGGUGUCCAAUCGGAAAUUUGGAUCCAGAGUCACUGUAAAGGUGCUAAAUUCACUCCCUACAGACUGAUAAAGGAGUUUUGAGUUGUGCCUGUGAAGAAAGGCUGGACUUGAUCCAUGUAGCUGAUUAGGAUGGAAGUUAUUUUACUCUGGGAGCCACUGUGCCAGCCGCACCGAUCUAACUUCGCUGUUCUUCCAAGGAGACACCAUCCCUCAUUUCCCCUUUUCCUUUUCUCGUCAGCAGUUAGACAUCCGUGGACUCUUGUACCCCCAGACGUUAGUUAGCUAUCAUUAAACGUAAUUGGGACCUUCAA